AUUGAACGCUGGCGGCAGGCUUAACACAUGCAAGUCGAGCGGAUGAAGGGACCUUGCCCUUGGAUUCAGCGGCGGACGGGUGAGUAAUGCCUAGGAACCUGCCUGGUAGUGGGGGAUAACGUCCGGAAACGGGCGCUAAUACCGCAUACGUCCUGAGGGAGAAAGCGGGGGACCUUCGGACCUCACGCUAUCAGAUGAGCCUAGGUCGGAUUAGCUAGUUGGUGGGGUAAAGGCCUACCAAGGCGACGAUCCGUAACUGGUCUGAGAGGAUGAUCAGUCACACUGGGACUGAGACACGGUCCAGACUCCUACGGGAGGCAGCAGUGGGGAAUAUUGGACAAUGGGCGAAAGCCUGAUCCAGCCAUGCCGCGUGUGUGAAGAAGGUCUUCGGAUUGUAAAGCACUUUUAGUUGGGAGGAAGGGCAGUAAGUUAAUACCUUGCUGUUUUGACGUUACCAACAGAAUAAGCACCGGCUAACUUCGUG
rnacentral:rRNA from 1 species